UUGAAAAUGAAAAGGAAUGCUGAAAAGGGUAGCAGCGAGUUGUUACGAACAAGAGUGGCACGGUACCUUGGUCUUUUCUCGUCGUCCCCUCGCCCACACUAAACCGGUUUGGGUUACAAAAGAGUCCCAAUGUAAACACACUCUUAUUUAACCAAAUGGAUUUGAACACUGUCCCUGCUGGCAAUAACUCUGGUCCUAACAAUCUCCUCGAAGCAAUAGUGCAAAUGGAGCCUGCAUAUUGUUCGCGGCAGGCAAAUAUUAUAUUUUUUUUUUAUUUUAUGUAAAUUGUAAUUUAGAAAAAAUAGACCCAUUACAAGAAUGUAAGUAUGAGUAUUUUACCAAAGAGCCACCCCCCAAAAAUUUCUGUUAAAGUUUUUAUGAGUUUCUUAGGGCUGGGUUCACAAAACUACCCGAAACUCUUGUUUACGUCUGGUAGUUAAUCAUUUUCUUACUCAAGGGGUUAUGGUCAAUUCACAUAGAACUUUUGCUUUGAUUUACAUCAGACAUUUGUUUUGACAGAAAAGUUAGGUGUACGCUUUUGUAUAAGUACGUUCACAUAAAAAGUUUUCGACGCCAAGCCUUAAAAGAAUCACGUCACAAGGUGGCGUUAUAGUGCAAUUGACUUUUGUAACAACUGUCACAGCUUAAACCAAAAAAAGUAAUAGUAAAUACUUGUCGUAAUCUUGUAUUCUAUUAUUCUUUGGCAAAUCCUUUAGUUUCUUCGCUUCGUUGUUUCACAGGCACACUGACUUUAUAGAACAGAAACAACUAAUGAGAUAACUUUGUCUUAGCACAAUUAAAAUUUCGCUGUAACCUGGUGUGUCUGCCACACAUUAAGAAGUCGGCCUGCAUCGGGCGAGAUGUGCCACAUCAUUGAAGGGUUGGCAGCUACACUGCAGUCAAAAUGAAAAGCCUAGAUUUUUGCAAAGCACACUCAGCCGCAACAACGCAACACCACGUUUGGCGACUGUGAGGCAGCAACAGGUGGAGUUGUAUAAACUUCCCUUUGCUGAACCUGAAAAACUUGUUAAGUGUCUUGCCGUAUAAUCGCUUCGUAUUCAUUCUUCAGCUAGCGCCGUCUCUAUUGCAUUUUUUAUCAGUCAAGUUUGUGAUAUUUAGAAAUGAUAUACUAUACUUUGCAAUGUUCAUAAAGUGAUAACUUUAAAGAUAUUUUCCUCUAAUGAUCGAAAUCGGAUAUAUUCAUGCGCCCAAUUCUCUACUUAUUCGCUUCCCGAAUAUUAAUUUUACCCUCCGCGUAAACCUUGUGCCUACUUACAUAUUUAUGUAUGUAUAUGAGCAUGAAUGCAGCUAAGCCAUGCGAAUAGCUAGCGAAAUAACUUGUUUUGUGCGAUAUCUGUUGAAAUUUCUCUUUUUGCUAUUUCCGCUCAUUUCAAGUUGUCUUUUUUUCAAGUUUAUUUAGUACAACGAAAGUCAAGGCUGCCCGCUCAAGGUAUUUAAAUAGCUGUUGACUUUGAAGUCAAUGUGACAACACACACUCGCAUACACUCAUUCACAUAUUCAUAUCACGAAAUGCAGUGAAGAGCACGAGAAUCUAGUAUUAAUCGAACUUGUCACAAGCAGUAGAUAUAUUUGUUAAAAAAGCUUUCCUGGUAAGAAGUGAAGCAGCGGCGAUAAUUUCUUGAUUAACAUUACUGUUUAAAUCUAGAUAGACCAUACUACUGCAAUUUUCAUAAUCUGUUACAUAGAUAAAAUAUGUGUUCAAAAAAAAUAAAUAGUAAGCUAUAGAAAAGAUAUGUUUAAAAUGGACGCUCACCGCCUCAUUUUAGUGAAAUCUAAAAAUGUUCGGUUCCGUCUAAAAUCUGUGAUACAUAUUUACUGCUUAAUAAAAAUAAAAUGAAAAACUUUGAGCCCACAAGAAAUUUGCUAAGAAAUUCCCGCACAAUAUUAUUUGAAAUGUGUAAUAGCGGACUUCACUUAUUAAAAAUAGGGGGACUCUACAUAUUUCCUUUAUUUAAAGUAUAUGUGUAAGCAAAUUCAAUGCCCCUGGAAAUGUUUCCAUUCGCUGUUUUCGAAACAAAUAAUUUGUACAAUUGAGUUCAACUAUCAUCAUGUGAACUUGUAGAAUGUCUUCUUUCUUCUAAUAUAUAUACAUAGGCUACAAAUAUUCCCAUCGAAAUGGCAGAACACCGUGUGAGCCUAUGAUUACAUUCCGCUGUGGGAACGCUUGUAUUAUUAUGUGUUUCACAUAUUACGGAGGGCUGUCUAGAAAUAUAUAAGUCUUUUGGUGAUAAUUUUCGCUUGCUUUGGUCAUAUAUAAUUCAUCAGCAUUAUCAAUAUAUCAAUAUAUACAUACCGAUUACCGAAAGGUUUGAGUAAAAGGAACUGCAACAAUCGUUGAGUUGAUAUUAAUGAGCAAUGACAAAAAAUGUAUGUAUGUAUGUGUUUUCUUAAUUGAUGACCCCUACAUGUGUGUUAUAUUAUAUUAUUGUCUCAUAUUGAAAUAUGUAACUUUUGCGAAGAAAGAAUAAGGUACAAUCAAACUAUAUAUUUUGGAAAAUACUGUUUUAAACAGCCUUUCAACCCAAAAAUUUAUUUCCCGCCUUUAUUUCAACAGACACAUUAUAUAUUACUCAAACGCGUUGAUCUUUAGUAUCUAAAGUAUGAAUCUAUAAUUUAUUUGUACUGGAUAAGAAUCCCGCAAAUAUACAAAGUUUUGAAGUUCUUAGUUUUGAAUUGGUUCUUAAUUAACAGUUAUCGUUUAAUCGGAGUACAACGUUUGUACGCCCGCAUACAAAAAUAUAAUACGAAUGAUGUACCUAUACAUAUAUCCAUAUAUCCAAACAUAUGCAUAUGUACAUGUGUGUGUUAAUCGCAACAUGUAUGGUAUAGGUACACCAACGUAAAAUGAAAAGAACGGCUAUACUUGAACUAAAUGUUUGUAAAACAGAACACUUGAACUGAACAUAAUUAAAUCAAAGGGGUUGGCGUCACAAGAAAAUCCACUUAAAUAAGUUGCAUAUAUGAGUUUUAGUCGAGUCACUUCCUUUUCACAUCAAGGCAAUAGCUUUGGGGACUAGUUAAAAUAACCGAGAGUGGCGGACGCUUCAAGCCUACAUAUUACUUUAGAACACAACAGGAAAGUACAAUUUUUCAAUUUAGUAAAUACAAUGAACACACCGUUUUAAUUAAACAAUUGAGAGAUCGAGUUCCGACACUUCGGAAGUCCAAAAUAAGUAGAUGUAUCUCGUUGUGAACUUGCGGAGUAUUCAAUGGAAUCAACCUAACGGAAGCACUUUAAUACCUUAAAUGCGGAAAAGGUAAAUGGGUAAAAUGUCAAAAGCCGCCACUUUCCUGUUUCCUCUCUCUUACACAGGCGCACGCACAUAAUUGCGCUCACAUAUACACGUACACCACUACACAUAUCAACAACGCACAUCGCACAAUAGGAAGCAUUGUUGGCUGAUUGCUGCGAGAGUGAAGUAUUGAGCGCGGAAUGGAUGUGUGUGCUUUAUUGUUCUGCGCGUUCAUCUCUAAACGGUUAAUGGCAAAUUAAUAAACGGGUAAACAGAUGGUUAACCGACGCUUUAGUGUUUAAUUUAAUUUCUCUUUGGUGCUGUUGUGGUUAGAAGUCACUAUACCUAAAACCUGGCUACCAAGUGGGCUACGCUUGUAAAUAAUAUUUAAUUUUUCAUAUUUAUUUCAUUACCAGCAUUUCACGAGAAUGCCUGUGUCGUGAAUUGUGUUUUCACUGUUGUGCGAGCGGUACUUUUAUAUACCCGCGGUUCAUCCUUGUUAUACCAAUUAGUUAGGAAACGUAAAAUGCCGCCCAACAUAUCGAACAUGCCCUCCAGUUCAAAGAAUAUCGAAAAGAGCCAAGAAACAACGGUUAUCAAAGUUAGUGCAGACGCAAUGCUCCGCAAUUCUGUAAAGAAUAGGCCAAAUGGUAAGACUUGUAAUUAAAUGUGCACACAAUACCUGAAUAAUUUUUAAAUGACUUCUUUUCACGCGGCAACGGCAACACCCUGAGCGGUUGUCUUCGAGAGCUGUCAAGCAUGUCACCGACUGUUUCCCGGGGCACAUAACGACGAGGAAUCUGCAGCGGCGGUACCACUAGCGGUGGAUGAUAUGCACGUGGCGUUAAAGCGGAACAACUAGUGUUGACCUCUGUUUGAGUUUGCGCAUUCACAUGAGGUGAAACCGAUUUGGUUUUGGCAUCGUCAUUGAAGAAGCGUGUCGGAAUUUUGUCUAUAUUGCGCGGUGUAAAAAUCGGUCGUGUCUUCUGGUUGGAAUGGCGACGUGAGCCCUAUAUGAUAAUAUUAUGAUGAAUAAGAUAUUUUUUUCUUGUUAUUGUUCAUACUUUCGAACGCUUGGUAGUGAUAAGUCUGGAACAAUCAUUUCCAAAACCAGAAAUUUUCGUUGAUGAAGCAGUAUUUUUUGACACUGAAAAGACCUGAGAACAUUGAGAAGCUACGGUGAAUGGAUUCAAGUUCGCCUGCAUAUUAUCCUCUUCCAGGUGGAUAGAAUGUUUCUCGCCUGUUUCACUAACCGCAACCGCACGCGGCCCUUCAUGCAUAACGCUAGGAUAUAUUAAAAAUCUUAAUAAAUAAAAUCACAGUCAGUUGCAGAACCUUGCUCACGUGUCACCGAUGAAGUUUGUCUUAGAACUAUGACUCGCCAUGGUAUAAGGGCUUCGUUCAUUUUGAAACAACUCGGUACGCGGACUGAGCUGUAUGAGAUUAAUGGCAGAUGGAUCAUUGACAAAACUGCCGGUUUGUUUUCUGCAGAACGGUUACAUUGUAGAAUAGUCAUGAAAAUCAAUAUUUUGUUCGUACACUCACCUCGGCUUAGAGGACAUUCGGCAGUAUUUUAAGAAAGAAAAACGGCAGUUAAAUAUGUAUACAAAUAAAUUUUUGUGUUCAUAUAAAAAUAUAUAUUUUUGAUUGCAAACCACAAAAAUACUUGACACAAAACAACUCUGUGAAAUGUACUGAAAAGAAUGCUAAUGGUUGUGCUUAGUGUAUGGUGUAUUUACUGACGAGGCUAUUAAGCACAUUAAUAAUAAAGUUCACCUUAUUUAUAUACUACUGAAUACAUGUCCAGCUUUUUAGCAUAAUUUCUUUUGUAAAAAAGUAAAACGUACAUAUAAACAUAUUCAUGCUGCAGAAUGAAGAUCCAUAUUCGAUUUCAAGAUUAUCGAUCUGAUGUUAUGUAUAUAUGUGUACUUAUAGAAAGAACUAACGUUAUACUUGAUGUUGUAGUUAGUUUUAAUAAUAAAAACGAUGGCUCACUUAA